rnacentral:lncRNA from 1 species
GGUCCCAACUAGACUGAAGGGGAGUGACUUUGUUGAGAGGGUUUGAAGGGUGCGGUCUCGCAAUCAGCAAAGGUUCUGAGCUACUUCCGAAUGCAUGAACUAACACACUCAAAUCAAACAAAGUAAAGUGAGAUUUUGAAGUGAUAAAUAAAGAUAGUAAGAGUCUGAACUUACUUGACGUGUCGUCGACGAAGGUGCGAGCGAAAG